rnacentral:lncRNA from 1 species
AGAAUGGCCAUGGGAAGACCCACUGGGAGGCUGUUGAGUUGCCCAGGAUACAACUAGAGUCCAGGAAGGAUCGCAGCCCUACUGAGAACUUGAAAGACCCCAAGUUCCAUCCUCAAAGCAUCCUCGCUGCUGCAUCAUUACAAAAUCCCCGUGAUCCACCUUUUCAAAGGUACAUGUUAACUUAUCUACAUGGUGUGUGCUUACUGAGUGCCUAUGGGGCUGUCCAGCUCCAGCUCCCUGUGUCGAAGGGAGGACCAAGGGAAGGGAAGGCUCUCCUCUCACCCUGGAGGGGCUUGUGGCUUGCUGGGCAGAGGAGACGCAGUGCACCUUGCAGCGCUGGACAGGGCACCAGGCAAUGUGUGGAACAAGGUUUCCAUGCCUGCAAAGUGCAGGAAAGACAACUCAGGACGGAAACAUGGACAGCCAAGAAGCUGGGAAAAAAUGAUCCUUUGCACUAGCAAACAAA